GCGGAUCCGCGGCCGCUGCAGAGUUUGAUCCUGGCUCAGAGCGAACGCUGGCGGCGUGCCUAACACAUGCAAGUCGAGCGGACUAUAGGAGAGGAAACUCUUCUUAUAGUUAGCGGCGAACGGGUGAGUAACACGUGGGUAACCUACCCUUAGACGGGGGAUAACUCAAGGAAACUUGAGCUAAUACCCUAUAUGACCACGAGCUGAAAGGCUUGUGGUAAAAGAAGAAAUCCAUCUAAGGAUGGGCCCGCGGCCUAUCAGGUAGUUGGUAGGGUAAUGGCCUACCAAGCCUAUGACGGGUAGCCGAGCUGAGAGGCUGGCCGGCCACACUGGGACUGAGACACGGCCCAGACUCCUACGGGAGGCAGCAGUGGGGAAUAUUGGGCAAUGGGCGAAAGCUGAACCCAGCGACGCCGCGUGGGGGAAGAAGGCCUUCGGGUUGUAAACCCUUUUGAAGGGGACGAAACAGGACGGUACCCUGCGAAUAAGCAACGGCUACCUCUGUGCCAGAAGCCGCGGAUAAGCAAGAGGCUGGAAAGCGUUUCCUGGACUCACAUGGCGUUAAGCGCCGC
rnacentral:rRNA from 1 species